rnacentral:rRNA from 1 species
AGAGUUUGAUCAUGGCUCAGGAUGAACGCUAGCGGGAGGCCUAACACAUGCAAGCCCGAGCGGUAUAGAAUCUUCGGAUUUUAGAGAGCGGCGUACGGGGUGCGGAACACGUGUGCAACCUUACCUUUAUCUGGAGGAUAGCCUUUCGAAAGGAAGAUUAAUACUCCAUAAUAUAUUGAUUGGCAUCAAUUAAUAUUGAAAGCUCCGGCGGAUAGAGAUGGGCACGCGCAAGAUUAGUUAGUUGGUGAGGUAACGGGCUCACCAAGACGAUGAUCUUUAGGGGGCCUGAGAGGGUGAUCCCCCACACUGGUACUGAGACACGGACCAGACUCCUACGGGAGGCAGCAGUGAGGAAUAUUGGACAAUGGGUGCAAGCCUGAUCCAGCCAUCCCGCGUGAAGGACGACUGCCCUAUGGGUUGUAAACUUCUUUUGUAUAGGGAUAAACCUCUCCUCGUGAGGAGAGCUGAAGGUACUAUACGAAUAAGCACCGGCUAACUCCGUG